AGAUUUAUAUUCUCUUCCCCAAAAGGGGAUAAACAAAUUAAGUGUAUUAUAUAUGGUAUACCUAUCAGUAAAUCAUCUGUAUAUUAUUUUACUAGCUAAAAGGCUAAAAGAGUUGUCCAAAAUAUUUAAUUUUAUGGCAUAUAGUUAUGGAUAUUUUAUCUGGAUAUUGAGAUUCAUAAUUUUUGAGCAUAGCUCUUGUAAUAUAUAACUAAAAAACAAAACUAAUACAUAGACCAAAGGCACUCAUAGUUGGUCUUUUAUUCUGACUAUAUUUUUCUUGUACCUGGAAAUUCAAAAAACUGCAGGGCACAGCAGUCGUCUGGUGAUGAACUUCAUCAGACUCAGUGCUAUGUCACUGGGUGCUAUGGUCAGUGUCAGGGAUUGCCACCUGGUUAAUUCAUCUAAUGGUAAUGAUGAUAAUAACAUGAAAUGUACACUCAGUAUGUACUGAGUGCUUUACAUAAAUUAACUCAUUCAAUGAUGACAACACACUCCUUUUGCGGGUACUGUUUUUAUCUCUAUUUCAUAGGUAAGGAAACUGAAAUCAGAUACUCCAUGGUUCGGGGGAAGUAAAGAGGCAGAUCUGAACCCAGGCAAAAGCAGGCACCUACCAAAAACAGGCAGCUGAACACUGCCUUUUGAUCAUUUGGAUGGUCAAACUUUACAUUGGAUAGCUAGCAUAUAAAUGAAGGCUCAGACUCAAAAAUAAUAGCAGGUUCUUUUUUUUUUUUUUUGACAGGCAGAGUGGACAGUGAGAGAGAGAGACAGAGAGAAAGGUCUUCCUUUGCCGUUGGUUCACCCUCCAGUGGCCGCCGCGGCCGAUCCGAUGGCAGGAGUCAGGUACUUAUCCUGGUCUCCCAUGGGGUGCAGGGCCCAAGCACUUGGGCCAUCCUCCACUGCACUCCCUGGCCACAGCAGAGAGCUGGCCUGGAAGAGGGGCAACCGGGACAGAAUCCGGUGCCCUGACCGGGACUAGAACCUGGUGUGCCGGCGCCGCAAGGUGGAGGAUUAGCCUAGUGAGCUGCGGCGCCGGCCAAAUAGCAGGUUCUUACAUGGUACCUGCUCUGCACAAGGCACUUUAAAUAUAUCAAGUCAUCUAUUUUCAACACACUCCCAAGAGUUAGAUAUACCUGUUAUUUUUAGAGUUUUAUUAAUUAUUUGAAAGGCAGAAUUAUAGAGAAAGAGGGAGAGGCAGAGAGAGAGAGAGAGCGUGCUUUCAUCUGGUGAUUCACUCUCCAAAUGGUUGCAAUGGCCCAGGUAGGACCAGGCCCAAAAUGAGGAACCUGAGCUACAUCCAGGUCUCCCAUGUGGGUGGCAGUGGUCCAAACACUUCGGACAUUUUCCACUGCUUUCCCAGGUGCAUUAGCAGGAAGCUGGAUGAGAAGUAGCAGCUGGGACUUGAACCCACACUCAUACGGAGUGUUGGCUUAUAUGGGAUGCAGGUGUUGCAUGUGGUGGUUUAACUCACUGUGCCACAACACCAGGCCCAAGGUAGAUACGCCUUUUAUUUCUACUUCAUAAUUGCAGAACCUGAGGCACAGGGAAAUUUGUCUACAAUUACUAUUGUAAUAGAAGCAGACUUUGAACUUGGUCUGACUGAAGAAUUUAUGUUCUUUCCCAUUAUGGGAUAUUGUGUUCUGUUCUGUAGACUUAAGAUCCUAAGUAAUAUGUAAGAAAACUCAGGUAUGGUAGCUAUGUAAAAGAAAAGGAGGAGGAGGAAACAUAGAAAAUGUCUAUUAAAAGUUAAGAUUCAACAAACAUGGAAUAAAUUUGUAAACUUUUGAAUACAUAACAAUAAUAAAUGGACACUCAAAAAUUUAAUCUGCAUCGAUUCACUUGUUUUAGUUAGUACUUGUUAUGUGUGGAAUAACUUCUAAUUCAUAUGUUGAAGUCCUAACCCCAACUACUUCUUAAUAUGACCUUAUUUGGAGAUAAGAGUCUUUACAGAGGUAAUCAAGUUAAAGUGAUGCUAUGAGGGUUGACCUUAAUGCAAUGUGACAGUAUACUCAAAAAGGAGGAAAUCUGGACACAGACAGGGAAGGUAAUGUAAAGAGAUAAAGGGGGAAGAAGGCUAUUCACAAGGCAGAGAGAAGGCCUGGAACUGACAGUUCUUAGAAAAAAACAACAACCUUGUAACCACCUUCUAAAAUAAUAUAACUAUUUGCAGACCUGUAGCCUCCAGACUGUAAGGCAAUAAAUUUCUGCUCUUAUUUAAGCCAUCCAGCUUGUGGUACUGUUAUAACAACCCUAGCAAACUAAUAUAGCACUCAAGAUUAAAAUGAGCAGAGGGGCAGGUGUUUGGUAAAUGCUAAGACACUGCUUACAUAUCUGCAUCCCAUAUCAGAGUGUCUGGUUGCAACCUGAUGCCUCUGCUUUCAAUUUAGAUUCCUGCUAACUUGCAGCAGGGAGAUAGCAGAUGGUGGCAAAGUACUUUGGUCCCUGCCACCCAAGUAGGAGACCUAGAAUAGAGUUCCAGGCUCUUGGCUUCAGUCUGGCAAAGCUCUCUGGCUAUUGAAGUCAUCUGGGGAGUGAAUCAGCAGAUGGAAGAUCUCUCUCUUUCUGUCUCUAUCUUUCAAGUGAAGUGAAAGUCAAUAAAUUUCUUAAAAAUUAGCAGAAAAUAAUUUUUAAAUAGCCAGACUGAAAUGCCAGAAAUUAAUGAAAAGGUCCAGGACAACUCAUGGACUCCAGGAAAGUCUAGCUAGCCUUUUAGUACUCAUAUAGGUAGCCAUCAUCCAAAAAAAAAAAAAAAAAACAAAAAAAAAAACAAAAAAAAACAAAACAAAAACAAAAACAAAAAAAAAACAAAGCAGGCUGAGCUUUCAAUAUUUCACAGGGAACUCAUAUCUGACUAUUUUGAACUGCAACACUACUCUUCUUCCACUUUCAGACUCCAAUCAAAACACUGGCUCUUCUUGGGUCUGCAGCCUUUUGCCUUUCAGCCUGGAAUUUAUAUCAUUGACUCUCCUGAUUCUCAUGCAUGUGAACCCACAGUAGAAGUACACAUUGACUGUACUGGGUCUCCAACUUUCUGAUUCUAGAUCUUGGGGCUUGGCAGCCUCCAUAGUCAGUGAGUUAAUUCCUCACAAUAAAUCUCUUUCUAUGUAUGCACCCAUUAGUUCUUUAAGUAAAGCUCAGUGUCAGAGCCUGCUGUAUAGCAUAUCAAGUAUUUACACUUCCUAAUUGGGCCAAACUGAAAUGAGCACAUUGUAGACUCUCAAAAGGACUUAUUACAUGGAGAAAAAAAUGAAAGAGUAGUUACAACUUCUGUGAUAAAGUACCAUUUAAGAAAAGAAAUCUUUGCCUCAACCUGUUUAUUCUAUUUUGAAACUGGAUUAGGGUAAAACUCUCAUGUUAGCCAUCAGUAGUACAUUCGAGAACGGUGAAUAGACUAUCAUUUAAAGUUGGAUUUUUUUUAGAUUUGUUUACUUGAGAGGCAAUUACAGAGAAGGAGAGUGACACAACAGGCCUCCGAUUCACUGUUCACUCCCCAAAUGGCCCCUAUGGCAGGAGCUGGGGCUAUCCGCAGCAGCCCAGAGCCAGGAGUCUCUUCUGAGUCUCCAGAGUGGGUGCAGGGGUCCAAGCACUUGGGCCACUUUCUGCUGCUUUCCCAGGCUAUUAGCAGAGCUGGAUUAGAAGAGGUGCAUCCUGUACAGGAACCAGAGCGCCCAUGGGAAUCCAGCGCUGCAGAGAAUGGCUUCGCCUACCGCGGGGCAGCAUCCGCCAAAAAUGGUGGAUGUUUAGUGACAGAAAAUGGCAUGUGCAGAGUGCUGGGCAAGGACUUGGCACUUUUGCAGGGGGCGGUACUGGAAGCGGAAGCCGUGUGUGCUACAUCCUCCACCGGAAGCGGAAGCAGUGUGCGCCUACAUCUUCCGGAAGGCGAGUGGCCCGGCAGGCAGGUAGGCUGGAGUCGUUGCUUUGUGUCCCACCCGGCGGACAUGAAUCCGUUAACCAAGGUGAAGCUGGUGAGAGAGUUGAGUGAAAGGGAAGCUGGCAUGGUGCCACCUAAGGUGUCCUGGCACUCCAUGUACCGGGACAGCGCUUGGGUCUUCGUGGGAGGGCUUCCGUAUGAACUGACUGAAGGAGAUAUACUCUGUGUGUUCUCGCAGUACGGGGAGAUCGUUAACAUUCAUCUCGUGCGGGAUAAGAAGACAGGGAAGUCUAGGGGGUUUGGUUUCAUCUGCUAUGAAGAUCAGAGGAGUACGGUUUUGGCCGUUGACAAUUUUAAUGGAAUCAAGAUCAAGGGAAGAACUAUCCGGGUAGAUCACGCGAGCAACUACCGCCCGCCUCGGGAUUCAGAGGACAUAGACGACGUCACCAGGGAGCUGCGGGAGAAGGGCUGCGGGCCCCAGGUCCCCUCAGCGAGUUCAUCUGGAGGCUCCAGGAACGAAGCGCUGCCACCGCAGCCCAAGCUAGAAAAAGGGAUGGGAGAAGACCAACGGGAGGACUGCUAUAGGAGUUACGGAAGUGAGGGCCAGGCGAUGCCGCGACAGAGACCUGACUUCCAAAGGGAAAGACGCCCCAGGAACCAGUGAACAUACCAAGGAAUCAUCGGUGCUGAGAAAAAGAAGAAUGUUUAUUUCAUGCCGGCUAAGCAGUACGUUUGGAAAUUUUCUCUCAAACAACUUGUGAAGAACAACCUUGUUUUACUUAAGGACAGAGUAAUAAAGGAGGAGGAGCACACACAUGGCUUAACAACCAGAGUCUGAGAUUUCAGUGGUGAACAAGAUAAAAGAGAUAUUUUAUAAGAAGGACUCAUGCAAUAUAUGACACAUUACAAGGUAUGAUUUUCUAUACUAGUAAGUUUUAUAAAGAAAAUAAAUUUAUUUAUUAUACACACACACAUAAUAGAUUUUUGGAUGAGAGGUGCUAGCUAUUUUCCUACAAGUGAUCAAAUAAAGCAAUCCUGAGGAGAUGGUAUUUGAACAGACAACUAAGUAGCAAGAGAUAGAAACCACAGGAGAACCCAGGGCUCAAUAUUCCUGGAAGACAAACAUGUCUUUAGUCUAGUACAAGGGCAGGGUGGGGACUUCCAGGGGCCUUCUAUCCCCAUGCCCUGUUUGCACCAGACUCUAUCUGCAAGGAGAGCCUAAUUAUGUUACAGUCACUGGUCCACUGACUUCCCUUUUCCUACUCAGGCAUCCCUUUCACUCUGCCCACAGAUUCAGUCUCAGUACAGCUUUGACCAAUGGUUGGAAGACCUAACACCAGACCACCAUCUGGUCUCCCUCUCCCUCCCCCUCUCUCUCUCCCACCAUCUUGGGCUUUCCUUUUUUGGGUGGGUCUUUAUGACUGAUUCAAUUUCUGUCUUGGUUGUUGGUCUGUUUAGGUUUUCUAUGUCUUCAUGACUCAUCUUUUGUAGAUUGUGUGAGUCCAGGAAUCUAUCCAUUUCUUCUAGAUUUCCCAAUUUGUUGGCAUAUAGCUCUUGGUAGUAAUUCCUGAUGAUUCUUUUUAUUUCUAUGGUAUCUGUAGUUACAUUUCCGUUUUCACUUCUGAUUUUAUUGAUUUGGAUCUUCUCCCUAUUUUUUGUUUUUGGUUAGUUGGACCAAUGAUGUAUCGAUUUUGUUUAUUUUUCAAAACACUAGCUUUUCAUUUCACUGAUCUUUGUAUUUUUUUAAUUUCAUUUUUAUUUAUUUCUUCUGAUGUUAAUUAUUUCUUUCCUCCUACUAAUUUUAGGUUUGGUUGUUGUUUUUCUAGGUCCUUGAGAUGCAUUAAUAGAUCAUUUAUUUGGUACUUUUCCAAUUUUUUCAUGUAGGCACCAAUUGCUAUAAACUUCCUCUUAACACUGCUUUUGCUGUAUCCUGUAAGUUUUGACAUGAUGUAUUGUUGUCUUCAUUUGUUUCUAGAAAUUUUUGUAUUUCUCUUUUGAUUUCUUCUGUGACCCAUUGUUCAUUCAGGAGCAUGUUGUUCAAUCCCCAUGUUUGUAUAUGAUCUAGAGAUUCUUGAGUUGUUGAUUUCCAACUUCAUUCCAUUGUGAUUAGAGAAGAUACAUAGUAUGAUUUUGAUAUUUUUUUUAAUUUGCUAAGGCUUGCUUUAUGGCCUAGAUCUACCCUAAAGAAUGUUCUGUGCACUCAUGAGAGAAUGUAUAUUCUGCAACUGUGGGGUGCAAAGUUCUAUUGAUAUCAGUUAGGUCCAUUUGAUUCAUAAUGUCAAUUAGCUCUGUCUUGUUUAUCUGUCCAUUGUUGAAAGUGGAGUGGUGAAGUCCCCCAUCACUAUUGUAUUGGGGACUGUGCCUCCCUUUAGAUCCAUUAAUAUUUCUUUUAGAUAGCCAGAUGCCCUGUGAUUUGGUGUGUAUACAUUUGUUAUAGUCACAUUUUCCUGUUAAAUUGAUUCCUUAAUGAUUACAUAGUGCCCUUCUUCAUCUCUUAACAGUUUUUUUAUGUAGAAUUCUAUUUUGUCUGAUAUUAGGAUGGUAACACUUGCCCUUUUUUGCUUUUCAUUAGAAUGGAAUGUCCUUUUGUGUCCUUUCACUUUCAUUCUGUGUGUAUCUUUGUUGGUGAGAUGUUUUUCUUGUAGGUAGCAAAUAGAUGGGUCUUGCUUUUUAAUCCAUUCAGCCAGCCUAUAUCUUUUAACUGGAGAGUUGAAUCCAUUUACAUUCAAAGUCACUAUUGAUAAGUAAUGACUUAGCUCUGCCAUUCUUCCAUAACUAUUCCUAUUUUUUACUUCAGACUUCUUUUUGUACUUUUACUGGUGGAUUUCUACAUUUACAUUCUUUCAUCAAAAUGACUAUCGGGGCCGGACUGUGGCACAGUGGGUUGACGCCCUGGCCUGAAGUGCCAGCAUCCCAUAUGGGCGCUGGUUCGAGACUAGCUCUCUGCUAUGGCCUGGGAAAGCAGUAGAAGAUGGCCCAAGGCCUUGGGCCCCUGCACCCACGUGGGAGACCCGGAGGAAGCUCUUAGCUCCUGGCUUUGGAUGGGUGCAGCUCCGGCCUUUGCAGCCAACUGGGGAGUGAACCAGUGGAUGGAGGACCUCUCUCUCUCUCUUUCUGCCUCUCCUCUCUGUGUGUAACUCUGACUUUCAAAUAAAUACAUAAAUCUUUUAAAAAAAGAUGACUAUCUUUCUGUUUAUCUGUUUGUAGCACAUCUUUAAGCAUCUUUUGUAAGGCUUGGUCAGUGGUGACAAAUUCUUUAAAUUUCUAUUUGUUGUAGAAGGUCUUUAUUUCACCUUCAUUCAUUAAUGAGAGCUUUGCAGGGUACAGAAUUCUGUGUUGACAGUUUUUUCCUCUCAAGACUUGGACUGUAUCUCUCUGUUUCCUUCUAGCAUGUAGGGUUUUGAUAAGAAGUCAGCUGUGAGUCUAUUUGUAGAUCCUCUGACAGUAAUACUGCAUUUUUAUCGUGCAAAGUUUAGGAUCUUUAUGUUUUACUGUGGAAAGUUUGACUGCAACAUGCCAUGAUGAAGUAUCAGGGACUGAUAGGAGUUCUGUGUGCUUCCUCUAUUUGAAUGUCCCUUUCUUCCUCUAACUUGGGGAAAUUUUCUGAAUUAUUUCACUAAAUAGGUCUUCUUGUCCAUUCUCUGUUUCCAUACCUUCAAGAACUCCUAAGACCCAUAUGUUGGAUCUUUUGAUAGUAUCUCAUAAAUCUCCAACCCUGUUUAAGCUUUCCGAUUUCUUCUUUCUUUUUUUUUUUUUUGACUGUAAGAUUGCCAAACUUAUGUCUUCUAGUUUGAAUAUUCUUUACUCUGUCUUGCCAAGUCUGCUGUUAAGGCUUUCCACUGGAUUAUUUUUUUGAUAUAUUAAAUUCUUCAUUUCUAAUAUUUCAUUUUGAUUUAUAUUUAAAAUCUCAAUUUCAUGGGAAAAUUUUUCGUUCAUAUCAUUUAUGGUUUUCUUUAGUUUGUGGAUUUGCUUCUGAUUCCUUUUGAGUAGUCCUAUGAUUAAUUUUUUGAAUUCCAUUUUUGGCAUUUACUCAGUCUCUUCAUUUUCACAUUCUAUUAUUGAAAUGUUGGGUUCCUUUGAGGGGGGUGGUCAUGGUGUCCUCCUUAUUCUUGUUUCUUGAAUUUUUGCAUUUGUUUUUAGGCAUUUGUGGGAUUGGUUUUUGUUUUUUUUCUUCUGAUGGCUUUUCUUCUUUGAACUAUGCCUCUGUGACUUAGUGGGAUAUCAGCACUUUCAGUGACUAUUUAGGGGUAUUGGUGGGUAUAACCAGGGAGCUCUCUUCAGUGGCCCAGGGUGGGGUGAGUAUCCAGGGUAACACCCAAUUUGGGUGUGGUAGAUCUCCAUGCCAGGGUGUUAUCUCCCAGUGUGUUCUGGGCCACCACAUGAUCUGCAUAAUUGAUCUGUGUAGUUUUCACUGUGAGCAUGGUGAGCACAUGGUGUCACUCCCAGUGAUUGCCCAGAGACCCAGCUACUCCCUUCACCUUCUCCUGUAACCUCUGAGUGCCACAGUCACUGGGUGCAGAGGUUUCUGUUUGCCCCACCAGCCUGCCAGUCCACAGUGAGGCAGAUGUUCCCUGAGACAGUCCCACCUAGGCGUCUUGAUCCUGGAAGGCUGCAGGUGCUGCAGCAUCCUGUGUGGUUACUCACUCACCUCCCAGCCAGACUCAGAGUCAGUGGGGCCUGCGGAUUGUUUCCUCUUCUAGAAUCACUGGGUCACACGGGUAUACAAGAUCCACUGGAUGAAUGUGGCUCUGCCACUGCCGCCAGCACUGCUGUGAAGAUGGUGGCCCGUCUCAGCCAGUUGCUGUGUACGCACACAAAGGCUUGUACAACUGCUGCCCAAACCCAAAAUGGCACCUGCUGUUUCUCAGCCAGGCAACCAGCACGGUUGUGAGGAAGUUGGGGAGAGACAAACAUGCCCCCUCUACUUCUCCUGGGUCUGUGGCAACCACUAGCAAACUCUAGCCCAUAGGGCUCCAGUCUGGACUCAAGCCACGCUCUCCCUCUGCCUGCAUCACCACAGGUUGCUGCAGUCCAGUCUCACCUCCGUCUCCAAACCUCCACCCACUCCAGCUCUUGUUGGCUGCACUUGUGCGUUGUGUUCGUAUUUGUGCUGUGCAUCUGCACCCUCUACACAGGUCCAUGGUGUUCAUCCUACUCUUGUAGGAUUUCUAAUGUGGGUUUCUCUCCAGUUCUCCCCUGCGAGUGCACUUCCUACCCCCUUUUCUUUCUUUUCUUUCACUUUUUAUCCCUAGUCAAGUACAUUGUUUCCCCCUAAUCUGCCAUCUUGGAAUCUCCCCCAACCUCAUCAUUUUCUAUUUAUUUUUCCAUCAUUUUGUCCUCCAUAUAUGAAAUUUUUUCCUAUUUUCUCAGAUUAUUCUGACAGUUACUUAGUUAUCUUUUUUAUUUUUUUUAUCCUCUCAGGGUUUGGUCCUACUGGGUUAUUGAAGCAUGUUGCAUUGUCUUUGUUAAUGUUUUCUCUCACUGUGAGUAUGCUUGGUGCAUAUAUUGUAUCUUUAAUUAAAUGUAAAAAUAGGGUUCUAUGAUAAAACCAGAUUGAUAAGUUUCCUACUAAUUCUUAGAGGACACUGGAAAAUAGAUCCAUGGUGGAGUGUUUGCAAAUGCUUUCCAUCAGUGGCUUCCAUGGAUUCGAUUUGAUUUUACAAGGGAAAAUUAUAAAUUUUUCAAAAUUAAUUUUGUCUAGAAAGAUGUGGGUGUGGGAGGUCAUUCAUGUGUAACCUAUAAAGUGGCAAUUUCACAUGAAAAAUGAUAUAAUGUUGCCAUCUUAAUUUAGGCAUAAUGGAAUAAAACAAACACUAUUACCAAUCUCCUCAUUUCUUAUUUUUCCAUUGAUUUGUUUAUACAUUCAUUUAUGUUCAUCCCAGGAACCUUUACAAAUAAUUUCCAUGAGCCGGGGAUAGAUGCUUUCUUAUAUAUAACUGACUUCUAAAAUGCUAUUUUUUUUUUUAAAUAAAAUGCUAUUCUUCCUUGGUUUGCCCAUCAUUCCUUUUUUUUUUUUUUUUUGACAGGCAGAGUGGACAGUGAGAGAGAGAGAGAGACAGAGAGAAAGGUGUUCCUUUGCUGUUGGUUCACCCUCCAAUGGCCGCCGUGGCCGGCAUACCGCGCUGAUCUGAAGCCAGGAGCCAGGUGCUUCUCCUAGUCUCCCACGCGGUUGCAGGACCCAAGCACUUAGGCCAUCCUCCACUGCACUCCCAGGCCACAGCAGAGAGCUGGCCUGGAAGAGGGGCAACCGGGACAGAACCCAGCGCCCCAACUGGGACUAGAACUUGGUGUGCCGGUGCUGCAGGCAGAGGAUUAGCCUAUUGAGCCACGGCGCUGGCCCCAUCAUUCCUUUUGAUAAUUCACUUCCACGACUCCUAAAUGUUCUAGGAAUUUACCUGUGGUAUCCACCUUGUCUAUGUCUGCCAUACUUAACACUUAAAUAAAAAUUUUCCUUUGUCAAUUCUAUCCUGUGCUUCCUUAAUGCCUCUUGCCCAUACUCUUCUGUUUCUGGAAUCAACCGAUCUUUAUUUUCAUAUUCAAGCCCAGUACCUUCUCUGGAAUUUGCCCCAACUAUAGUCUGGGCUAUUUAAGGAAUUCUAUUCUUUUUGAGGAAUUUCAAGACAUAUAUAAAAAGUCAACUUGGGGCCCAUGCUGUGGUAUAGCCAGUAAAGCCACCACCUGUGGAAACGGCACCCCACAUGGGUGCUGGUUCAAGUCCUGGCUGCUCUACUUCUGAUGGCAGGAGCUAUGGCCGGCGCACCGCACUGAUCCGAUGGCAGGAGCCAGGUACUUAUCCUGGUCUCACAUGGGGUACAGGGCCCAAGCACUUGGGCCAUCCUCCACUGCAUUCCCGGGCCACAGCAGAGAGCUGGCCUGGAAGAGGGGCAACCGGGACUAGAACCCGGUGUGCCGGCACCGCUAGGCGGAGGAUUAGCCUAGUGAGCCGCGGCGCCGGCUCUGGCUGCACUACUUCUGAUGCAGCUCCCUGCUAAUGCACCUGGGAAGGCAGCGGAGGAUGACCCAAGUCCCUGGCCCCUGCACCCACGUGGGGGACCUGGAGGAGGCUCCUGAAUCCUGGCUUUGGUUGGGCCUACCUCUGAUGGUUGUGGCCAUUUGAGGAGUGAGUCAGCAGAUGGAAGAUCUCUCUCUCUCUCUCUGUAACUCUGCCUUUCAAAUAAGUAAAUACAUCUAAAAAAUUUUUUAAAAGUCAACUUUUUUGCUAGUCUUAUUUGUAGUUUCUUGCUUCUUGUUUCUAAUAAUCGUGCAUUUUCUUUCUCCAAUGACCAGUUAUUACUUUGAAAUCCCAUUUUCUCCCAAGUAGGACAUUUUAUUGAGGGAAUCCUACUCUUGAACCAGAGUUCCCUGCACAGGACAAUCUUCUAUGAUCUCCACACUUUCCUUAUUUUGGAUACGUCUGCUUCUAUAUUUGCUUCACUUCAGAAAAUGUUACAUUAAGCUAUGAAAUUGUCUCUUAUGACUGUAUAAGCCGAAAAAUAGAUUCUAAGUUCUUUGUGGAUGUUCAUUUCCUACUUAAACUCACUGCAGUCUGUUUACCUUCCUAGUUUCCUAACUAUACACACACAGCCAUUGUUAAGAUCACAAUUGCUUUCUGUUUUGAAUAUUUAAUAGAUAUUCAUCAAAGGCUCCUCUUUGAUUAUCUGCCAGCUGUCUUCUCUAACCCAUUUUUUUUUUCUGUCUGGUUCUCAUCCCUUCCCUCUCUCCUUCAUGGGCUUCUCCCACAAUAUCAGUGUUGGUAUUUAUUGGGUUUCUGUCUUUGAAUUAUUUAUUAUUUUAAAAUGUUAACUAUGUUUUAAAAUUUUGCUUAUUUUAGAUACACACACACAAACACAAACACACACACACACACACAGAGGGAGAGAAACUCCCAUCUGCUUCUAUUACAUAGCUCUCUCAAUGCCUGCCACAGCUGGGACUGGGCCAGUGCCAAAGCCAGGACCUGGAACACAAUCCAGGUCUUUCCUGUGGGUGGCAGAAACCCAGUUAGUUGACUGACUCACCACUGCUGCCACCUGGGAAGCUGGAGUCAAGAGCCGGAGUCAGAAAUUGAACUCAGGUACUCCAGUGAGGGAUACAGGCAUGUUAACUACUAGAGUAAAAGCCUGCUCCUGCAUCUGUCACUUUUAAUAUUCUGUGGGUGAUUUUAUUCACCGUAUAAACUUUGAAAAUGGAUUUAACUUCAUAAUUUGAGAUAUUUGAUAUGGGCUAUACUAAUUGGAAUAGGAAUUUAAGUAUUAUUACUGUAUAGAUCACUGGUUAACAUCAAAUAUAGCUCAUCUGGAAUACAAUGAAAUCAGUACCCAGUCAGCUACUUCUGUCACAGAAAGUAACUUAGAUAAGGAGAGAUCAGAGAAAGAACUCAUGUGGAAAUAUUUGUUGAAUAGAUAUUCUAUAAUCAAAUAAAACAAGUUUUUUUUUGCAGAAUGUUUAAGAUGUGAGAAUAGAUUUAGCAUGUAGAAUUACUCUUUUUAAUGAGAAUUUAAAGGAUAUUUUUAGCUAGGACACAAGCAGGAUGGUAACUGAAACUUCCAGGCACUUGGAACUAGUAAGUAUACCUUUCUUUUUUAAAAAAAUACAUACUUUUCAAAAUGCGUUCACACUUGUGGUCUCAACAACAUUGUGAAGUAGGCAUUGAGAAAGUUAGGACAUAGAUUUUAAACAGGGGAAGCAACAUGGGGUGAUUUGUUGGUUUUUAAUUGUAUUCUAAAUCAAUUUUUCUCAAGUUUGCUGUGCACAUACAACAACUGGGAGGCUGUGACCUGGUAGAUUCCAGUUCAGUGAACCUGGGAUCGGACCCAAGAUUCUACAUUGUCACCAUGCCCCCAGGUGAUGCUGGUGGCCACCUUGAGGAGGGCCUUUGGGGGAGUCCUAGACUCAGAAAGUCCUGGACUCAGGGGCUAGGAAGGGAGGAGAAAGAUUCAGAGGAAGUCCUUAAGGCUCUCUGUUCUCUUCAGACAAAGUAGCAUCAUUUUGAUCUGACCAUAAAUUAAAGUUGCACAUUACAUUUUAUUGGAAGGAUGUUUUAUUGUUACUCUUGCCCACACCCCAACUUGCCAUUGAUUUCAAACUGUUGGGGAAAAUGGACAGGAGUUGUAAUAUAGUGGGUUAAACUACCUCCUGCAGUGCCGGCAUCCUAAAUGGGCUCCAAUUUGUGUCCCAACCGCUCCACUUCUGAUCCAGCUCCCUGCUAAUGGCCUGGGAAAAGCAGAGAAUAUGGCCCAAGUACUUGGACCCCUGGCACUCACUUGGGAGCCCAGGGUGAAGCUCCUGGCUUUGGCCUAGCCCAGCCCCAGCAAUUGCAGUCAUUUGGAGGAGUGAACAAGUAGAUGGAAGAUCUCUCUCUCUCCCUCUCUCUGUAACUUUGGAUUUCAAAAUAAAUAAAUAAAUCUUAAAAAAAUAAUUUAAGGAAACAUCUAGAAUGGAUUCACAUCAUGUCUAGAAGCACCUAUCCUUGGUCCCACCAAGGGUGUGUGUUCUUCUCUACACUGAAUGAAAUGGAAGACAACAUCUCCAAGGAUCUGCCAAUACUAGAAUUCCUAUGUCACUUCUAAAGUACCAAACUGCUAGAUUUACAUGGUAAAUCAAGCUUGUGCCCUAAUCUUCCAGGUUCAGGAUUGAUGUCAUUAUACCAUAUGUUAUUUGGGUAUUUGUGGCAGUCGUGAAGUAAAUAUGACCCUUUGCUCAUGAUAAGUAAUGGAGAAAUCAUUAGCUUUGCUAGAGGGUCUCCUUUAAGAAAGUAGAGAGUAACAGUAUAUAUUGGAAAAGAAAAUUUGUUGAGAGGGGAGAAAUAUCUGCCCCUUCCUAUUUGUAGCUGAUUCUUUGGUAUCUAGGAAAAUGUAGGAUUGAUAAAUCAUAAAACUUAGAAUUGCAAAGGAUCCUUUUCUAAUUUCAGCAUAUUAUCGCAGUCACAGAAGUUAAGAAAUUAGUAUCGAAGUCAUCUAGACAGUACCCAAAAUUUAACAAUUCCUUUGAUUUCCUGAUUGUUAUGUGGAAAUUUAUGUACCUUUUGUACUUUUGUAUCGAAUCUCCCACCGUACCAGUAAUAUGAAGCUACUCUGGUGAGCUGAAGGUUUCAUAUAUUUUGCUUCUUCCUUCACUCUCCACCUCUGGUGCUCUACCUAAGCCCAUCAUUUGAUGAAAAUUAUAUAAGUAGAACAGAGCCACAGAGAGUAGGGCAAACUGAGGCCAAAUAGUACACACUGGGGAACUGAAUGUCAGCCGGAUUGCAUAAGCCCUGUUUAUCUUCAUGGCGGAAAUCGCCAUCAUGCAUACUUCAGAUUCUUUGGUUUUCUUAGUGCAUUCUGGUGCAAGAACCCCUCACUGAGCUACUGGGUAAAAGGGUAGAUGGCAACGAAGUAGCUAGGUUUUAUGAGUACAAUCAAAAAGCGUUUUGAAAUUCAAUAGCAAACAAUUUUGUUGUUAAUAUACUUACUUUGGCAGACUGGCUACUACUUAUUGACAUCUUAGGACACAGUGGACAGUGUUCUAAAUGUUUUAUACAUCUAGUAUCUUUUAAAACAUUUUUAUUUACUUGUUUUUAUUUUAUUUGAAAGGUAGACAUGAUAGAUAUAGAUAGAAAGAGCAAGAUCUCCCAUCCACUGAUUCCCUUUUCAAAUGCCUUUAAAUUUCCUGAGGCUGGGCCAGGCCAAAAUCCGAGGUUGGAACACAGUUGAGGUCCUCUAAGUGUGUGGCAAGGAUCCCGAACACUUAAGUGAUUAUGUCCCCCCUCCUAGGGCAUGUAUUAGCAGGAAACUAGAGUCAGGGGGUGGAGAACCAAGACUCAAACCCAGGCACUAUGAUAUGGGACAUGGGCAUUCCAAGUGGCAUCUGUCUCUUGUGCCACAAGUCUUCUACAUGUACUCUUUUUCAUUCUGAUGUAUAUCUCAUUUCAAGUUCUUCUAAGGUACUCUUUUAGUCACCACAGUGAUAGCCAAAAAGAUGGAAAGAUAGUCUACUAGUAAGCAUCAGCAAUAUUUGGGUGGAGUUUCCAUUGAAUCUGCAGUUGUUGGACUUAAUAUACCAAACCGUAUGAUUUCUUGGGCUUCUGGUGGGCACCCACGUCAUUCAGUUGCAUUAGACCUCUUACCUUUCAUCUGGUCUUGCAGUGUGAAGCUUGCCAGUGCCUCUGUGGUUUACCUUUUCUCUUUAAAGCACACGAGCUAUUUAGAAUAUAUCAGUAUGCUCUGAUUAUGCUUUGUCUACACCCUACUUCAGUAGUGACAAGUGUAGAUAGUAAAGUAGAUCUUAACUGAGGCUUGUUAGUUCUCAAAUAUUUUUAAUAUCAAUGGUUGCAGUGGUUUAGGUUUUAUUGUUACUCCAUAUUUUUGUUUUAUAUAAAUAGUUUUUUAAAAGAUCAGAAUAAUUGCUUUCUCAGAUACGCUUUAGUUGCUUUUCCAAUUCAUUGUUGAGUUAUCAGCCACAGAUGUUAAAUUAAAAUACCUACUAUAUAAGGAUGUUUUAAAAAGUUCAUUGAAAAAUGCAACUGAAAGAUAAAUUUAGGGAGUGGUACCAUGGUGCAGUGAGUUAGUUGUGCAAGUCCUUGAGACACCUGCAUUCUAUGUCAGGGUGCUGCUUCCAGUCUUGGCUGCUCUGCUUUUGUUCUAGCUCCCUGCUAAUGUGUCUGGGAAGCAGUGGAUGAUGGGUACUGCUUGUGUUCUCAUUCCACGUGGGAGACCCAGAUGGACUUCCUGGCUUCUGACUUCUACCUGCCUUGGCCCCAGCUGUUGUGGCCAUUUGGGGAAUAAACCAGUGAAUGGAUGAUCACUGUCUCAAUCUCUAUGCCUCUUGGUUUCACUCUUUCAAAUAAAUAAAUAGAUAAAAAUCUUAAAAACAGAUAACUUUAUUUUGGCACAAAACUUUUAAAAUCCAUGCAUAGGAGAGUUCUUCAAAUAAGUCAUGAAAAAUGUAUAUUAUAGGAAAACUAUACAUUGGGGCCAGUGCUGUGGCGCAGUGGGUUAAUGCCCUGGCCUGAAAUGCUGGCAUCCCAUAUGGGUGCUGGUUCGAGACCUGGCUGCUCCACUUCCGAUCCAGCUCUCUGCUAUGGCCUGGGAAAGCAGUAGAAGAUGGCCCAAGUGCUUGGGCCCCUGCGCCCGCAUGGGACACCCAGAAGAAGCUCCUGGCUCCUGGCUUCAGAUUGGCGCAGCUCUGGCCAUUGCAGCCAGCUGAGGAGUGCACCAGUGGAUGGAAAACCUCUCUCUUUCUCUCUCUCUGCCUCUCCUCUCUCUGUGUAACUCUGACUUUCAAAUAAAAUAAGUAAAACUUUAAAAAAAAAACUAUACAUGGUUUCAAAUUUUUUUUGCGCCAAAGUAAAAACAUCUUUUAAUCUCAUUUUCCAUGAACUUUUGAAAUACCUCUAUGUUUCUUCUGGAGGAAAGAGUAAUUUAUAGUUGAGAACCACUGUGCAUAGUACAUUACCAACCCUCACAAUUCCUGUGUGUUCUCUCUGUCCACUGUCCCGGAAUGACAAUCUUCCUUCUGUUCAGUCUUUCCAAAUAGAGAUUACCUAUAAUGUGCCAGGGACUGGGAACUCAGCACUGAGUACAACAGGUAAUCUUGCCUUCACGGAGACAAUGUUCUAGUGGAAGUACACAUGAUUUUAUGGACAUAGCUCAUAUUCUGAGUCUUCUUUCCAUUUCUGUCUACUUCUUUCAUAAUAAAACAUCUUUCUUCUACAAAAAGAUUUUUCCUAAAGACUUCAGAAAUAUUAUCAGUAACACUUAUUUGGAUUUUAAUUUUCAAUUCUUUUUACUUUUUUAUAUAUGUUGAGCAUAUUUCAUGUGUUUCAUAUAUACAGAUUUAGGAGCAUAGUGAUACUUUUCAUCCUACCCUCCCUCCCGCCUUUACCCUCACCCCCCUCUUUUCUUUCUUAUCCUUUAAUUUUUACAAUGACAUAAUUUCAGUGUAUUUUAUAAUCAUAAGAUUAACCCUCCACUAAGUAAAGACUUCAACAAAAAAGUAAGAGGAAAAAAAAAAAAAACACUGUUCCUCACCGGUAGAGACAAGGGCUAUAAACAAUAAUCAAUUCUUACAAUGUCAGGCCGGUGCCGCGGCUCAAUAGGCUAAUCCUCCACCUAGCAGCGCCAGCACACCGGGUUCUAAUCCCAGUCGGGGCACCGGAUUCUUUCCCGGUUGCCCCUCUUCCAGGCCAGCUCUCUGCUGUAGCCCGGGAAGGCAGUGGAGGAUGGCCCAAGUACUUGGGCCCUGCACCCCAUGGGAAACCAGGAGAAGCACCUGGCUCCUUCGGAUCAGCGCGGUGUGCCAGCUGCAGCACGCCAGCCGUGGCGGCCAUUGGAGGGUGAACCAACGGCAAAAGGAAGACCUUUCUCUCUGUCUCUCUCUCUCACUAUCUACUCUGUCAAAAAAAAAAAAAAUUCUUACAAUGUCAAUUUUGCUCAUAUACAUUUUUUUUUGUAUUCUAUUAGUUAUCACAGAAUAGGAAAAACAUAUGGUACUUGUCUUUUUGGACUUUUUUAUUAAUAUAGAGGGUAUAGAUUUUAUGUAUUUCAUAGACAUAAUCCUAAGAAAAUAAGCAUUUGGAAUUUAUACAUCUGUAAUUCUGCCUACCAUUUUUAUGUCCAAUACCUUUUACCCCACAGUUAGAUUUUUCAAUUUUUAAGGGCAAGGACCACCACAUACACUGAUUUAUUAAGUUCUAUUUUAUAAAUAUUUACAUACGCAAGAAACAUAUACAGAACAAUAAUGUAAACACCACUCAGCUAAACAAAUAACACAUCACUAUGCAUUGAAGUCCCCUGUGUACUCAUCUCAGAUCAUAUUCUACUUCUUCCCUGCCUCUAGAGGGAGCCACUGGUGUUUAUCUUGGAAUGUGCUUCUAAUACAUCAAUUAUAUCUAUCCCUAGGCAGUAUCUACUGCUCUUUUGCAUGUUUUAAAAGUUAUAUAAAUAAUACCAUACUGUAUUAUUAUUAUUAUUUUUUUAACUUUUAUUUAAUGAAUAUAAAUUUCCAAAGUACGAUUUAUGGAUUACAAUGGCUUCCCCCCCAUAACGUCCCUCCCACCCGCAACCAUCGCCUUUCCCACUCCCUCUCCCCUUCCAUUCACAUCAAGAUUCAUUUUCGAUUAUCUUAAUAUACAGAAGAUCAGCUUAGUAUACAUUAAGUAAGGAUUUCAACAGUUUGCUCUCACACAGAAACAUAAAGUGAAAAAUAAUAGAUGAUUUUUUUAAAUGAUGAUGAAAUCAGAUCAGACCUAUUGUCAUGUUUAAUCGCAGUGAGAGUCAAGUUGGGAGUUGAUAAUUUCUUUUUCUUUUUUUUUUUUUUUUUACAGAGGAUCAGUUUAGUAUACAUUAAGUAAAGAUUUCAACAGUUUGCACCCCCAUAGAAACACAAAGUGAAAUAUAUUGUUUGAGUACUCGUUAUAGCAUUAAAUCUCAAUACACAGCACAUUAAGGACAGAGAUCCUACAUGAGGAGUAAGUGCACAGUGACUCCUGUUGUUGACUUUACCAAUUGACACUCCUGUCUAUGGCAUCAGUAGUCUCCCUAUGCUCCGGUCAUGAGUUUCCAAGGCUAUGGAAGCCCUCUGAGUUCUCCGAUUCUUAUCUUGUUUAGACAAGGUCAUAGUCAAAGUGGAGGUUCUCUCCUCCCUUCAGAGAAAGGUACCUCCUUCUUUGAAGACCUGUUCUUUCCACUGGGAUCUCACUCGCAGAGAUCUUUUGCCAGAGUGUCUUGGCUUUCCAUGCCUGAAAUACUCUCAUGGGCUUUUCAGCCAGAUCCAAAUGCCUUUAGGGCUGAUUCUGAGGCCAGAGUGCUAUUUAGGACAUUGCCAUUCUAUGAGUCUGCUGAGUAUUUCACUUCCCAUGUUGGAUCACUCUCCCCUUUAUUUAUUCUAUCGGUUAGUGUUAGCAGGUACUAGACUUGUUUAUGUGCUCCCUUUGACUCUUAGUCCUUUCAUUAUGAUCAAUUGUGAACUGAAAUUGAUCACUUGGAAUAGUGAGAUGGCAUUGGUACAUGCCACCUUGAUGGGAUUGAAUUGGAAUCCCCUGGUAUGUUUUUAACUCUCCCAUUUGGGGCAAGUCAGCUUGAGCAUGUCCCAAAUUAUACAUCUCUUCCCUCUCUUAUUCCCACUCUUAUGUUUAACAGGGAUCACAUUUCAGUUAAUUUUUAACACUUAAGAAUAACUGUGUAUUAAUUAAAGAAUUAAACCAGUCCUAUUAAGUAGAACAGACAAAAAAACUACUAAGAGGGAUAAUGUAUUAAGUUGUUCAUUAACAGUCAGGGCUAUGCUGAUCAAGUCACCGUUUCCCAUAGUGUCCGUUUCACUUCAGGAGGUUUCCUUUUUGGUGUUCAGUCAGUUGUCACCGAUCAGGGAGAACAUAUGGUAUUUGUCCCUUUGGGACUGGCUUACUUCACUCAGCAUGAUGUGUUCCAGAUUCCUCCAUUUUGUUGCAAAUGACUGGAUUUCGUUGUUUCUUACUGCGGUAUAGUAUUCUAAAGAGUACAUAUCCCAUAAUUUCUUUAUCCAGUCUACCGUUGAUGGGCAUUUAGGUCGGUUCCAGGUCUUAGCUAUUGUGAAUUGAGCUGCAAUAAACAUUAGGCUGCAGACCGCUUUUUUGUUGGCCAAUUUAAAUUCCUUAGGGUAAAUUCCAAGGAGAGGGAUGGCUGGGUCGAACGGUAGGGUUAUCUUCAGGUUUCUGAGGAAUCUCCAGACUGACUUCCAUAGUGGCUUGACCAGUUUGCAUUCCCACCAACAGUGGGUUAGUGUCCCUUUUUCCCCACAUCCUCGCCAGCAUCUGUUGUUGGUAGAUUUCUGAAUGUGAGCCAUUCUAACCGGGGUGAGGUGGAACCUCAUUGUGGUUUUGAUUUGCAUUUCUCUGAUUGCUAAUGACCUUGAACAUUUUUUCAUGUGCCUGUUGGCCAUUUGGAUUUCCUCUUUUGAAAAAUGUCUAUUGAGGUCCUUGGCCCAUCUCUUAAUUGGGUUGUUGGUUUUGUUUUUGUGGAGUUUCUUGAUCUCUUUGUAAAUUCUGG